GAAUAUGAAGCGAUAUAUUGCAAUUAGUUUCGACCUAACUCUAGGUUAUUUAACCCUUAUUCU
rnacentral:tRNA from 1 species